AGUUGGUGAGAUAACAACUCACCAAGACCGCGAUGGGUAGCCGGCCUGAGAGGGUGAACGGCCACACUGGAACUGAGACACGGUCCAGACUCCUACGGGAGGCAGCAGUGGGGAAAUAUUGCACAAUGGAGGAAACUCUGAUGCAGCGACGCCGCGUGAGUGAAGAAGGCCUUCGGGUCGUAAAACUUUGUCCUGGGGGACGAUAAUGACGGUACCCUAGGAGGAAGCCCCGGCUAACUACGUGCCAGCAGCCGCGGUAAUACGUAGGGGGCAAGCGUUGUCCGGAUUUAUUGGGCGUAAAGGGUGCGCAGGCGGCCUUUUAAGUCAGAUGUGAAAGCCCACGGCUCAACCGUGGUAAGCAUUUGAAACUGGAAGGCUUGAGUUAAGGAGAGGAAAGUGGAAUUCCUAGUGUAGCGGUGAAAUGCGUAGAUAUUAGGAGGAAUACCAGUGGCGAAGGCGACUUUCUGGACUUAUACUAACGCUGAGGCACGAAAGCGUGGGGAGCAAACAGGAUUAGAUACCCUGGUAGUCCACGCCGUAAACGAUGAGCGCUAGGUGUCGGGGGUCAAACCUCG
rnacentral:rRNA from 1 species